AAUCUGGUACUUUUAUUCGAUUAAAAAACCGGACCGAAAAAAGCGAGAUCCCUUGUAGACGACUUGGAUUUUGGAACGGGUAUUGUAAGGAGCAGAGUAGCUUAUUUUUUUUUUGUUAAUUACCAUGCUGCGAUCUCUUGAGAUUUAGCCCGGAAUUUUU
rnacentral:rRNA from 14 species